rnacentral:lncRNA from 1 species
UUUGUUUUUAUUAACAGACAGAGGAACAACCAUAGCGCCUAACCCAACAUAUGGUUAUACAAAUACCAGUUUCGCUUACAACCAAAGUGUUACCAAUGGGAAUCCGCAAUAUGCUUCACCGCCACCUUACUCAACGUGUGUUGUCUCUGACCAAUCAGGAAGAGUUUUGUCAACACCAACUGACUAUAUUCUUAUGUCUAUAUAAUUAUAACGAUGUAUAAUAAUUAGUUUAUUUAAGGAGAGAUGUGGGAAAACACGAAAGAUUAUUUACAUUAUGAUUAAGGAUAAACAGCACUAUAAAUGAAUAAUUGCUUAGUUUGAAGAGUGGCUGUCGAAAAAUAUCAGUAUGUAAGGUGACAUUAAACAAUUUUCUUUUCCAUUUAAAUACGGGUAGUCUUCAAGUUGGUUUUCUUUUAAUUAUAUUUUCAACCAAACACACUUUAGGAUCGAAAUUGCAAAACAUACUCUCAUGAAAAAAAAACUUUUAAACAUUAUAUUGCUUGUUUUAAAUUUGAAUGAUCUCUACUUAACAAUGUUUCAAUUUUUAUUUAUAUGGUGUU